UUUCCACUGAGCCACGCUGCUUCUCUUGGCUUCUCUGUUAGGGUUUGUUUACAGGGAAGUGGGAGGACACGCUCAAUAGUGAAAUUGGAAGUCACCGAGGGCAGAAGAGAAGGAGAAAGAGAGAGUGUGUAUGUGUAUGUCUGUGUGUCAAGAUCCCAGAUGCAUCUGGAUUCCUGUAGUGGCCUUCCAGAAUUUUAAGUGAGUUAAAUAGAAACCAUGGGUGGCGAGGAGUUUAGUGGGUUUUUUUUCCCACCCCGGUUGGGUCAGCCUAUGGCCUGGAGCGGUCUAGUAAUUUCGACACAUGCCUUUUCGGGCCUGGGUGUGAGGCGAUCCUAUGGCCGGGGAGGGAACAAUAGAGAAACUAGGGUGUUUUUGGUUGUCUUUGCAUGCGUUUGCUCCCAGAAGUUGAUCCGGAGGUGGUAGACUCAGGUGUGCUGUAGGAAAAACUGAAUGAUAAUUUUAUAAUAAAAUUGAUAGGUCGAUUUUUAACUUUUAGUAUUUUUUUUCAGCUAGUGUAGACCCCCUUCAGUUCUUCUUCACUCUUAUGGUCUUAUGCAGAAUAAUGCCUGUAGGAAUCUGGAAGAACCUGAAAAGAUCGACUCCGUGUGGGUCCAUCUUGUGCCAAUAUCGACAAUAUACACAGAUCUUUUGGAGGCUGCCUGGUUCCGAGGAUCAUGAGCAUAUGAUGGGAUGAAAAACCGAAACCAAGGGCCACCAUCCUAUCCACUCUUCUUAUCAUUUCGCAGGCCACCGCCGGUGGGAAUAUAGGAAUGAGGAAAACCUCAAAGAAUCUCCUGCCAGGAUUGUCGUCGUAUCCUCUGUGGAGCCCGGAAGUUCCUCCGUCGACUAUGUUUCCAGAUCCGUCUAUUGAGAGAGAUCAUCUUGUCCUUGGAAAUAGAAUUGAGUUAUUUCCUCCUCUCCGAAGAAAGACCCGAGUGCCAUGCUGAGGGGGAAGAACCAGAAACCAUCGCCUCAGUGCGGGUCCACCUCGUGCCGAUGUUGACGGUAGACAUGGAGCCUUUGGAGUCUCCCUGGUUCCGAGGAUAAUGAACGUGUGAUGGGGAGGAAAA